UAUACACUUUGAUCCUGGCUCACAACGAACGCUGGCGGCGUGGAUAAGACAUGCUAGUCGAGCGCUUAUUCCCUGGUAGCACUAUUAAGGAGUAUGAGCGGCGCAAGGGUGCGUAACACGUGGAUCAUCUGCCUGGAAGUUCGGAAUAAUUCGGCGAAAGCCGGACUAAUGCCGGAUGUGGUUGGAAGACUAAAGUUGGGGACCGCAAGGCCUGACGCUUCCAUAUGAGUCCGCGGCCUAUCAGCUAGUUGGCGGGGUAACGGCCCACCAAGGCGAAAACGGGUAGCUGGUCUGAAAUGACUACGACAUGAUGAUGUACUGAAUACGGUCGAGACACCUACUGGAGUCAUACCGCACGCAAUUUAUCUCGAUGGUUGACCACUUGAGCGAACCACGCCGCGGGGUGGCAUCAUGACUGAUGAACGCCAUC
rnacentral:rRNA from 1 species